rnacentral:rRNA from 1 species
AACGAACGCUGGCGGCAUGCCUAACACAUGCAAGUCGAACGAGACCUUCGGGUCUAGUGGCGCACGGGUGCGUAACGCGUGGGAACCUGCCCUUAGGUUCGGAAUAACUCCCCGAAAGGGGUGCUAAUACCGGAUAAUGUCUUCGGACCAAAGAUUUAUCGCCUUUGGAUGGGCCCGCGUUGGAUUAGCUAGUUGGUAGGGUAAAAGCCUACCAAGGCGACGAUCCAUAGCUGGUCUGAGAGGAUGAUCAGCCACACUGGGACUGAGACAGGGCCCAGACUACUGAGAGAGGGAGCAGGGGGGAAUAGUGGACAACGGGGGAGAGCGUGAUAGAGCCAGGGCGCGUGUGAGUAGAAGGUCUUUGGAUUGGAAAGCAAUUUAAGUUGGGAGGAAGGGCAGUAAGCGAAUACCUGGCUGCUUUGACGGUACAAAAAGAAUAAGCACCGGCUAACGUCGUG